AAAAGACUCGAGCAAACUGAAUUGCUUUGUAUUUGUGGAGUGUUCCUUUACCAUGUCCUCAAGGAUGCCUAUGACUCCAUAACGAGCAGACGUUAAAAGUUAUACCCUGGUGUAUGAAGAUUUCAUAUGCCGCAGGAAGGACACCAAUUUAUUGAUCAUAACCUUUUAAUCGAUUUCCUCCCUACAACAUAUGAGUUUACAUACUGCAGGGUAAAACUAUUCCUGUGCUACAUAACAACAUGAAUAAGUAUAUCUCCAGGAAUAUAAGUUAGGUAUGGUAACCCUUAAAGGAACACUCCAAACACCAUAACCACUACUCGGCAG